rnacentral:lncRNA from 1 species
AAAAAUGUGACAUAUGAUUUAUAUGCACAUACACAUAUACGCUUACGGGCACCCGCGUGUACACACACACACACACACACACACACACACCCAGCUGAUAAGUGGGUACAGGAAAUGUGAUAUAUGUGAUAUAUUCACACAAUGGAGUUUUACUCUGCCACCAAGAAUAGCACAGUUGUGUCAUUUGCAAGAAAAUGAAUGGUACUUUCUCACCCUUUCUGCCAGGUGAGGACAGAGAAAAAGACAGCAGUCCACAAAACAAAAAGCAGACCCUCGCUGAACACGGAGCCUGACAGGGCCUUGAUUUGGGGAAUCUCCCAGAACUGUGAGCAAAAAAUUUCUGUUGUUCAUGAGCCACCCAGUCUGUGCCAUGGUUUUAGAGAGACCAGAACAGACACCACCUCUCCUCCACCAACACACAUUUCCACGAGUGUCCCAGGCCUGUGACGAAGCAGGAGACUGAGGAAUCAAUAAAUCUAUGCAUGGUUAGUAUGUGAGCUAGGAUGUGGGCUGUCUCUCAAGGGCCCUCGGGUUGUAGUCUUUAUCCCCAGGGCGGUCAUCUCAGGGUGGUGAUGUGGAUCUAGUAAGAGUGGGGUGGGGGGAGUCCUGAGGUCCACCCAGGGUGCUGCCUAGGUGAGGAAUUAAGGUUGUUCUCAAGUGACCCAUCAGGAGUCCUCCAGAGAGGGCUGCUAUUAAGGCCAGAAAGGGCCCUGGCUCCUGUUUGUCUAUGUGACCUCUUGUUCCCACAAGCAUUCCCUACCUUUGCCAUGGUGUGAUACAGUCAGGGAGGGGCCCUCACCAGAGCCCUGUGCCAUGUUGUUUUAGUCCUUCAGCCUCUGAAACUGUGAGCUAAAUAAGCUGUAUCAGAUAUUUCCUUAAGCAACACAAGACAGACUGACACACCACUCGUCCUGCCACCGUGCCUGUGUCUAAUGUGGAGGAUGACACUGUCUGCCGUCCACAGUCUCUGGCCUUGGAGUUACCAUGCUCAGCUUGCAGAAGAGGAAACUGCUCAGCCCAAACCCAUCACUUGUCCAACCAGUAAAUCACCCGGUCAGAGCUGAAGCCCUGGUUCCAGAGGACAUGCCCUUUCCCACACACCUUCUUCUUCUUCGCCUCUGACAACUUCUUGGAAGAUGGCCCGAUUUUCUUGCCCUUGAAGAACCAUUAGCAUGACAUGAGGGAGAGUGUGCCUGCCAAAAAGCUCAGACAAGACACAGAGAACAUUCGCUGUCUUUUGGGCUUCCCUCUUCACGAGUGGAUAAGCUGGGAUGUGGCUCACCAGUAGAGUACUUGGAUCAACCCACACCUGUGAGGGGGGUGGGCAUCACUUCAGGGAGAGAGGUACCAAGAUAUAUCUGCAAGUCACAGAACCUA